CUGAGCCUUUCCAUGGUUUUGAUGCCUCGCCCUAUACAUCAGAUCUAGAUGUUCCCUCAUCAGUUGAUACGAGUAUCACCUCUCCAGAGCCCAAAUCAGUUGAUACGAGUAGUAUCACCUCUCCCAUUCCUUCAGACUCCCAAGCACCUGCCCAUCCCACUCCAUAGCCCAGACCACCCACUCUCAUGUACCAUAUGGCCAUCCCAGUAAGCAAGCCAACCACUAGAAUUUGGUAAGGACAUUUUUUUUAUUAAUGUUUUAUUAUUACAUAUGUAAUAACCAUGUUAUGUAUGUAACAUACAUACUAUAUAAUCAUAUGUACUAUUACAUUAUCAUUCCAGACUGGCAUGCACCUGUGACUUACAUAAACCAGACCUCUACAUAGCCUACAUGUCUUCAUUUUGCUGAAGACUGCCCAUCAUCCUAGCCUGUUAUCUGUGAUAAAGCACACUGAAGUUAGGUUUGGAAUGCAUCCUUAUCAUGAAUGCUCUACACCUCCACCUCCAUCUCCCACAACCUAGGUAACAGCUUUGAGACUCACUAAAAGUUGAACCCCCUGAAUGAUGUAGGCUAUGGGGCCACAUAAGACUUUGUCCAUCCAGGGUUACAUUGAACGACAACUUUAAACUAAAAAACCAACAUUUUUCACACAACUCCAGGUUGUUACUAACAAAUUACUACUACAAGUGUCAUCAAGG